AUGGCUAGGAGAGACGAGGAGAGGGAAGAUCGAGUAAUGUGUGUAGAGUACACGAGCGGCGGACGGCUGAGUAACGCGUAGGAACGUACCCCAAAGUGAGGGAUAAGCACCGGAAACGGUGUCUAAUACCGCAUGUGGUCUUCGGAUUAAAGCUUCGGCGCUUUGGGAGCGGCCUGCGUAUGAUUAGUUUGUUGGUGAGGUAAUGGCUCACCAAGGCUUCGAUCAUUAGCUGGUCUGAGAGGAUGAUCAGCCAGACUGGGACUGAGAACGGCCCAGACUCCUACGGGAGGCAGCAGUAGGGAAUUUCCACAAUGGACGAAAGUCUGAUGGAGCAACGCCGCGUGCAGGAUGAAGGCUUUCGGGUCGUAAACUGCUUUUAUAUGUGACGAUUUUGACGGUAGCAUAUGAAUAAGGAUCGGCUAACUCCGUG
rnacentral:rRNA from 1 species